AGUGCAAAUGGUUAACAAUGGUUAAGAAUUUCUUAAUUGACAUGAAUGAGCUGAAAUGCAUUUGAAAUUUGUUAGUUGUUGUGAAUAUUUUGAGCUGUGACUGGAAUUAAAUGUGGUUGUGAAUAAUGAUUAGUUUAGUGUAAUUUAUUAAAUUGAUAUAUGCUGGGUUAAUUAUUGAAAAGAUGUCGUAUGGAUAAUUGAUGAAUUGAGUUUGAUUUGUGUUUGGGUUG